rnacentral:lncRNA from 1 species
CCAAAAUCUGUCUAGCCCAGCAACCAAUUGGCCCCAGCCCAAAAUAAAACUGACCAACAUGACAUAUCCCUAAAUCCCCUCUUCUUCACGUUGAAACUUAACCAAAACCAAGCUUCCAUCAAUCACGGCAAAUCCGUCGAAUUUCUUGGCUUUUGCAGAUCAAACAGCCACAAUGGUCUUCUCCAUCACUUCAAAGCUCAGAGAUAUGAAGACUUUUGCUCUUCUUCUCCCUUUCUUUUCAUUUUUGAAUUUCGAAUUUUUAGCUUCUUGAUGAAUCUGUUGGGGCUACGUUUUUGCCUAUAAAUACAGCCCCUAUUCAUUCACGGGAAGGGGUGGAGUAUGAGAAAUUAAGGAAUUUUGAGUCCUAGACUUAUUUCACUUCUUAAGUUUUCUGGCUUUAUUUUGUGGUUUUUGAUUACCGAUCCUCCCGACUCCGUUGCUUUUUAUCGCUCAUAUUCGAAGUUGGUGGGAAAAUGAUUCAUUAACUGGUAGUUUAGGUUCACUGCCCGGAACAAGCUCGAGUUGAAUCUCCGACGAGAAAUUUCUAGUUUGCUACCCCACACAUUGGUGCGAGUUUUCGAUAAUCGAUUGAAUCUUCUUUUCUUUUUCUCCAAGGCUAAAAGCUGACUUUUGUUUUAAAUUUUGUUUAAACUGAUGACGAGUUUAUGUCAUAUUUUUAGGAAUUCGUUCAAAAUUAUUACUGUAGUAAAUAACAAUGUGGGAUAUAGUUCAUUUUAUUGAUUUUUUACAACUUGAGUUGGUUUGCUGGAUGCACAUACUUACAAAAUUUCCUUAUGAUAGUCUUUAAAAAGAAAACUAGAGCAGGAGUAAGUUUUUGCGAGUGUGUGAAUCGUCCCUAAUAUAGCAAUAUGUUCUUGUUUCUAAAAAUGAUUAUGCGUACGGGCUAUAAUUUAUGUUUUACGCUAUUUUUUGUUUCAUGUUUCAUGUUUCAUUUAUUUAUCGAAAUUUGAAUUGUAUUCUAAUUUAUUAUCUUUUCUUUAUUCUACAUGUACAUUCGGAAGCGCGUUUGGGGUCCCACGACUUGACUCCAACUCUGUCCAAAUCAGAGAAACAACAAUAGACUGUUACGUGUUUCAUCUAGCAGUCUAGUGCCUCUUUGUUAGCUUAUCUCUUUCUUUGUAGAUACUUAUUAUAACUAUCAUUUAACAUUUUACACGUUACUAUUUAAAAUUUGUGUUUUAUAUGUUUUUUAUUUGAAUUAGUGUGAUUUCUUAAAUGUGUUGGCGAAGUUAAUUGUUCUCUUUUUGCUCAUUAGAUGUUAAAUUUAGUAUAAUUGUCAGGCUUAGGCGCUUAAUCAAUGUCGUUAAGAUUAAAAUUUGGUAGGUUGAAACAUAUCUUCUAGAAUAAAUGAUCGAUUUUGUUAGAAAACUCUAAUGCUUCUUUGAUAUGAAUUAUAGUAGCCUAUCUUUAGAAUUAAAAUUAGUUUCUCAUUAGUUAUUAUUGUCGAAUUAAUAAAAUAUAGGUUUUGAGAUAGGCAAAUUUAUCAUUGCUAGACGUGAAAAUUGGUUUUAAUUAUUUUAAUAUGGUAAAUCAAUUCUGUGGUCAUCACUCUAAAAUAAAAUUGCAACUUUGAUGAUUUAAUUUCGCAAGGUCUUUUUUAGGAUUUCAAAUAACA